GACGAACGCUGGCGGCGUGCCUAAUACAUGCAAGUCGAACGCAGUGGGGACGGGUGAGUAACACGUGGGUAACCUCCCAUCAGAGGGGAUAACACUUGGAAACAGGUGCUAAACCGAUACUGAUGGAUGAACCCGAGUUGCAUUAGCUAGUGGGUGAGGUAACGGCUCACCAAGGCCACGAUGCAUAGCCGGCUUGAGAGGUUGAUCAGCCACACGGGGACUGAGACUAGGCCCAGACGCCUACGGGAGGAUGCAGUAGGGAAUAUUCGGCAAUGGACGAAAGUCUGACCGAGCAACGCCGCGUGAGUGAAGAAGGUUUUCGGUUCGUAAAGCUCUGUUGUUAGAGAAGCGGUAUCUAACCAGAAAGCCACGGCUAACUACGUGCCAGAAGCCGCGGUAAUAC
rnacentral:rRNA from 1 species